GCCGGUGUGGUGCAGUGGUUUGAGCAUUUGAUUACAACUCUUAAGACCAGGGUUCAAAUCCCCACAGAUG